GACGAACGCUGGCGGCGUGCCUAAUACAUGCAAGUAGAACGCUGAAGGAGGAGCUUGCUUCUCUGGAUGAGUUGCGAACGGGUGAGUAACGCGUAGGUAACCUGCCUGGUAGCGGGGGAUAACUAUUGGAAACGAUAGCUAAUACCGCAUAAUAGUAGAUGUUGCAUGACAUUUGCUUAAAAGGUGCAAUUGCAUCACUACCAGAUGGACCUGCGUUGUAUUAGCUAGUUGGUGGGGUAACGGCUCACCAAGGCGACGAUACAUAGCCGACCUGAGAGGGGGAUCGGCCACACUGGGACUGAGACAAGGCCCAGAAUCCUACGGGAGGCAGCAGUAGGGAAUCUUCGGCAAUGGACGGAAGUCUGACCGAGCAACGCCGCGUGAGUGAAGAAGGUUUUCGGAUCGUAAAGCUCUGUUGUAAGAGAAGAACGAGUGUGAGAGUGGAAAGUUCACACUGUGACGGUAUCUUACCAGAAAGGGACGGCUAACUACGUG
rnacentral:rRNA from 1 species